rnacentral:rRNA from 1 species
CUACGGGAGGCUGCAGUGAGGAAUAUUGCACAAUGGGGGGAACCCUGAUGCAGCAACGCCGCGUGGAGGAUGACGCAUUUCGGUGUGUAAACUCCUUUUAUAUGUCAAGAAAAUGACGGUAGCAUAUGAAUAAGCACCGGCUAACUCCGUGCCAGCAGCCGCGGUAAUACGGAGGGUGCAAGCGUUACUCGGAAUCACUGGGCGUAAAGGACGCGUAGGCGGGCUUGUAAGUCAGGUGUGAAAUCCUACAGCUUAACUGUAGAACUGCACUUGAAACUACGAGCCUAGAGUAUGGGAGGGGCAGAUGGAAUUAGUGGUGUAGGGGUAAAAUCCGUAGAUAUCACUAGGAAUACCUAAAGCGAAGGCGAUCUGCUGGAACAUAACUGACGCUAAGGCGUGAAAGCGUGGGGAGCAAACAGGAUUAGAUACCCCAGUAGUC